GAGCGGGGAAGGGUAGCUUGCUACCUGACCUAGCGGCGGACGGGUGAGUAAUGCUUAGGAAUCUGCCUAUUAGUGGGGGACAACAUUCCGAAAGGAAUGCUAAUACCGCAUACGCCCUACGGGGGAAAGCAGGGGAUCUUCGGACCUUGUGCUAAUAGAUGAGCCUAAGUCAGAUUAGCUAGUUGGUGGGGUAAAGGCCUACCAAGGCGACGAUCUGUAGCGGGUCUGAGAGGAUGAUCCGCCACACUGGGACUGAGACACGGCCCAGACUCCUACGGGAGGCAGCAGUGGGGAAUAUUGGACAAUGGGCGCAAGCCUGAUCCAGCCAUGCCGCGUGUGUGAAGAAGGCCUUUUGGUUGUAAAGCACUUUAAGCGAGGAGGAGGCUACUUGGAUUAAUACUCUAGGAUAGUGGACGUUACUCGCAGAAUAAGCACCGGCUAACUCUGUGCCAGCCGCCGCGGUAAUACA
rnacentral:rRNA from 1 species